UAUUGCUGAAUAAGGACUGCUGUUUAUAUUGUUACAAGUUUGAUGAAUAUAUUCUGGCAGUUGUUGAGAUAAUUAGAAAAGGCUGAUAAAAUUUCAAAUCUGUU